rnacentral:rRNA from 1 species
GCCGGGGCUUCUUCUGCGGGUACCGUCAUUAUCUUCCCCGCUGAAAGGGGUUUACAACCCUAAGGCCUUCUUCACCCACGCGGCAUGGCUGGAUCAGGCUUGCGCCCAUUGUCCAAUAUUCCCC